rnacentral:pre_miRNA from 1 species
AGCUUUCUUUAUCCAUGCUGAGAUUCUGUCAGUGACCAACCCACUGGAGCUGAUGCAACUUCCCAAAUAAGUGAAGUG